rnacentral:rRNA from 1 species
AUUGAACGCUGGCGGCAGGCUUAACACAUGCAAGUCGAGCGGGCGAGGUUGCUUCGGUAACUGAGCUAGCGGCGGACGGGGGAGUAAUGCUUAGGAAUCUGCCUAUUAGUGGGGGACAACAUUCCGAAAGGAAUGCUAAUACCGCAUACGCCCUACGGGGGAAAGCAGGGGAUCUUCGGACCUUGCGCUAAUAGAUGAGCCUAAGUCAGAUUAGCUAGUUGGUGGGGUAAAGGCCUACCAAGGCGACGAUCUGUAGCGGGUCUGAGAGGAUGAUCCGCCACACUGGGACUGAGACACGGCCCAGACUCCUACGGGAGGCAGCAGUGGGGAAUAUUGGACAAUGGGCGGAAGCCUGAUCCAGCCAUGCCGCGUGUGUGAAGAAGGCCUUUUGGUUGUAAAGCACUUUAAGCGAGGAGGAGGCUACUUGGAUUAAUACUCUAGGAUAGUGGACGUUACUCGCAGAAUAAGCACCGGCUAACUCUGUGCCAGCAGCCGCAGUAA